CUCCUACCGAUUGAAUGAUCCGGUGAAGUGUUCGGAUCGCGGCGACGUGGGUGGUUCGCCGCCCGCGACGUCGCGAGAAGUCCACUAAACCUUAUCAUUUAGAGGAAGGAG
rnacentral:rRNA from 1 species